rnacentral:tRNA from 1 species
AAGAUUUUAUCUUAAUAAAAGUAUUUGAGUUGCAUUCAAAAGAUGAAAGUUAAUGUCUUUCAAGUCUUA